UGUGGGCGUAGUUAGGAGGCGAACAGUAAUCUCAAUCCAAUCUCUGCGUUGGAUUGAGCGAGGCGUUUUGAGGGGACUCUCUCUGUUCUACUGGGAGUCCUCCAAGCACCCUCACACAUCC